GGCAGAUGUCUACAAAGGACCAAAGCGAGGCCAAACCGACACCUAUUGUGACCUAAGCCUGAAUGGAACCAGACAGCAAGAGCAUAUAGUAGGGGGGAAAAUCCAGGCAAAGAUGAUCCCAACCCCCUCCCGCUGCUCUCCCCUACAACACUACAGGUCCUUGGAAUGACAAGGAAGACAGGUUUGCUCUGUGAGCAUGGAUUUAAAAACCUCUGCGUAAACGACGUGAGAAAUCACAGCCCAAGGAAAUGCCAAGGAGCAGAGGCCACCAGGGAGAAGGAAAAUGAGUCUUGUGAAGAAGCCGUCAUUGCCAGUAUGGCUACUGCACAGCGCCCACACCAACACUCCAGCUGGCGUGGGCCACCUGGGCACUAUUUCCCCCUGUGGAAGUGCCCUGCACAGACCUGCUGCCUCUCCCUGCACUGCCCUUCCAAGACUGUGCUUGAUGAGCUCCACUGGACCCCAAAGCAGAUCCCUGGAGUUCCUAAGCCACUGUGGGCUUCAGUAAGAAGAAACAGCAUUCUGAGAAACGUUUUCCAUAGAAUAACCCUUUGUGUUAUAGAAUACAACAGGCACGAGCAUCCUCUAAGGCCUCUAGAUUAAGAGGGGUUUUUGCUCUGCCUUGAAAAAACUCUGUGGACUCUGUAAAGACACUUUAAGGUUUCACUACAAGUGAGGCAAGUUUCAUUUACCCCUACUCAUUAUUAACAAUAUACUAACAAUACUAUCAAUUAUUGAUACCUUUAAAUACUAAAAGAUAGCCAGAUGUAGUGGUAUAACCUAUAAUCCGGCACUUGGGAGGUUGAGGCAGGAAGGAUCAUGAGUUCAAGGCAAACCUGGGCUACAUAAUGAGUUCAAGGCCAACCUAAACUACAGCGAUAGCCUAUCUCAAAAAACCCAAAACAAAUAAAUAUUAAAACAUGUACAAAAUGCAUUUGAAUGUUUAUUUCUCCUCUCUAUAAUAUUUC
rnacentral:lncRNA from 1 species